AGCGCAGGCGGGAAGACAAGUUGGAAGUGAAAUCCAUGGGCUCAACCCAUGAACUGCUUUCAAAACUGUUUUUCUUUGAGUAGUGCAGAGGUAGACGGAAUUCCCGGUGUAGCGGUGGAAUGCGUAGAUAUCGGGAGGAACACCAGUGGCGAAGGCGGCCUACUGGGCACCAACUGACGCUGAGGCUCGAAAGUGUGGGUAGCAAACA
rnacentral:rRNA from 1 species